ensembl:lncRNA
CCCAGGGAGCAGCAACUCCUCUGAUUGGUGGGUUCGGGAGAAGGAAGACCUGGUUGGCUAGUCCCUCCACCUGCAGAGGUGGCUGGUCUAGACCUCUACCCCAGCAAGGAUUUGCCUGUGAAGUCAGUUGAUCCUGGACUUUUGUUGGGGUUUUUUUAAUCCCAGUUUCAACUUCGGUACUUGUGAUUGGCCUGCUCGUAUUUCCCAUUUCUUCCUGCUUCCUGCUCACGUGGAUGCUGGGCAUAGAGCUCAAAGUCCACAGCCCGGCCCAGGAUGGAGUCCUGCUUUCAAGAUGGAGCCUGUUGUGUUUCCGCCUUCAUACAGACACAUGUGUGGUACAGUUGGAUCACUGUGCUAUACUCCUGAAACUAACAUAACAUUGUCUAUCAAGUAUACUUUAAUUUUUUUAAAAAAAAGGAUGAAAAUGAAUAAACAAGUAACUCUCA